rnacentral:lncRNA from 1 species
GCACGGUGCAUAACCAUAACGGCCACUUCUGGCGGAAACGGAUACUGCCACCAAAACCAACGGCGACUUUCAGCGUUUUUCCUAUGAUGGACUCAGACGACGAUCCGAAUAAUGAUGAUUUAGACAAAUCUGUUAGGUAAGUGAUACAAUUGCUGUGUCCACGGAAUCCUCGGAUGUUUUUUUGUCAUCUAGAAACCACUUAUCUCAACGAACAUGUAUUCCUUUUAUAUUUGAUUAGCAUUUUAAACUAGUGACUAUGUGUUGUGCAACUCUUUUCCACCAAAAUGAUAAUUAUUUCCGCUCUAAUUAGAACAGUAUUAGCCAUACUUACAUGGU